rnacentral:ncRNA from 1 species
UAAUAUUUUUGGCAAACUUAUCGAAAGAUAAGGACGCAAAGCCAUGGGUCUAAAGAUUUUUUUCUAUGAUUGCCAGGUUGCUGAU